GCAGAAACUAAUGAAGGGGUAUCAAUUCUAGUUUUGUAUCAGAACUUUGUUUUGUACAAACUGGCAUGGACAUUUCAUGCAUAUAUUUGAUAACAGAUUUAUCAAAGUCAUUGUUUUCAUUUAGAAGAUAGAUAAUCUCUGUUGCUUGCAGACAUACAAUACUUAUUACUAGUGCACACCCAGUAUAAUCAGAGUCAAUGCUGUAAACUUUGGUUAAGCUUGCUGUAAAAGAGCUACAAUGCUGCAAUUCACUUUGUGAGCUGGAUUCUCAGACAAGUUGACAUGUUUAUGGAAUCCAUGAAGUAUCAAGGUUUUGAGACAGUUUCUUAUGUUAUAAUAUUAUUACUAUAUAGGCAUUAUCAAUGUCUUGCUUUCAUUCUCUGAAGCAACGAUAUUUUCUUAGAAAUGACUUGGUAUAGAUACUUUCCUUUGUCGAAGAUCAAAGAUGAUAAUGUGUACAUGAUGUGUGAAAGGACAUACCAACAUGUUCAUGAUAGUUUAUUUGUUAUUUGGUCAGUCAUUAUCAGUUUGUCAUAACUUUUGUAAAUGUAUAUUAUAACAAAAAUUGUGUAAUUUUCACUCAGGUUGGUAUAUUUUCAUUGAUAUUUCAUAUUGAAAAAAUAAAUAUAUUUAGAAUUGUGGAGGCAACUUACAUUGUUGUGAGAGAAAGGAAUGAAACUCAUUGUGUGUAAAUGACGAUUCAAUUAGUUGCUGUUAACUUAUCACAGAGUCUGAUAAAUAAUCAUUUUAUUUCCAUCUGAAGAACUAUUGUACCAGUAUGUAUUGAUUGCGCAAUUAUCACAGACAUCGUAUGAAAGUGGGAGUAUAUUCUCAUCAUCAUCAGUCUGUAUACAUUUUUCAUAACAUGGUGGAUGAUACUCCUACCGCAAAUAUUGAGAAUUUCAUAACGACUUGAAAAAUUUUCUGCUCUGUCUUGUUUGUUUUGGGAGAACAGUACUAAUAAAACAAAAAUUUAAAGAAAGUUUGAAGAAAUCUCCUCUCUUACCUAGGUAGUAAGUUCAAUACUUGAAAGGAGAGAAUAAGGACCUGUGAGUUAGUUAUUUGUUUUCCAAUCUCUUUUCGUUUGAAGAAAACCCAGGUGUUUCAACACCUGAGGACAUUACCCCCAGGCAUUGGCCUAUUGUUUCAUCGAGUGUGCGUCAUACUCAGUGUCUUGUUUUUAUGAUCAUCACUAUUUCAGCACAAAAAACUUUGUAAUAUACAUACCAACAGUAUGAUUUAGCAUUUCAUUGUAUGUUCAAAACAUGACUUGUUUAAUCUUGGAUGAUGUAUGUUUUGCAAGAUUUAAAAUGUACAUACUUUGUGAAUGAUGGCAGAAACAAAUAAAUCUGUUUUACAAAAAC
rnacentral:misc_RNA from 1 species